rnacentral:rRNA from 1 species
GAGCGAACGCUGGCGGCAGGCUUAACACAUGCAAGUCGAGCGGGCGUAGCAAUACGUCAGCGGCAGACGGGUGAGUAACGCGUGGGAACAUACCUUUUGGUUCGGAACAACACAGGGAAACUUGUGCUAAUACCGGAUAAGCCCUUACGGGGAAAGAUUUAUCGCCGAAAGAUUGGCCCGCGUCUGAUUAGCUAGUUGGUGAGGUAACGGCUCACCAAGGCGACGAUCAGUAGCNGGUCUGAGAGGAUGAUCAGCCACAUUGGGACUGAGACACGGCCCAAACU